UUUUGACACAAAAUCUUUGUUACGCAGACAAUUGCUAAAGCAGUUGGGGACUGGUACUACGACACAAGUCCAUUUCAGAAGAUCAAAACUUGUCACAAUAGGAUUUUUGAUUCAAAAGAGAACCCAUCAGUAUAGAUGUACUGGGACAACAAAAGUCAUUCUUUGGAAUAAUUGAGAUACAGAAAUUCAAAAUGCUACAAGGAGAAAGAAAAGUCAACAAGAAAAGGUAUAAGAAAAAUGAAGAAUCCAAAAUUUAUUAAUGUUGCAGAAUAAAGGAAAAAUGCAAUGCACAAAAUGUGAUUGAUGAUGUUAUUCUUAUAACAUAUUGCAAGAAUAAUUUAUUAAUUAUUCUGAAGCUGAGUGUGAUGUUAAUGAUCUAUAUUUUCAAUUUGGAGAUUAAUAUUUUUGUUGUCAUCCCAUUUAUGGACAAUAAGUUUUAUCUUGGUCCAAACAUUAUUUAUAUAAGUCGAGUUCGUUUUGAAUUUCAUGCUUCAUGCCAUCUCUUUGAGUCAAAUUUUGACUUUGUUUUAAUGUAAUUAGUAGAUUCAUUAUCCUCGAUUAGUAAUCGUAAAUUUAUACCUUCUAGGAGGUCGAAUGAUCCUUCUAGACUUACAUGGAGAUGAAAUGUCCUUAGGAUUUUCUACUUCUUAAUCAAGAGUUUGUCCCUCAGUAAUUGUAAGAUUAGAUUUAGUUCAUCUACUUGGUCAACUAUAUCUGUCGAUUCUUGAACCUUUUUAACUUCUAAUUUGCUCUCACUAUCCUCUCCUAGAUGAACUAUUUCUCUAGGAAAAUGGUAUGUAUUAAGACAGAAGUUUUCUUCUCAAUGGGAUUAUAGAAUUCGGACAAUGCUACAUUAACAAACUCAUCUACAAAAUGUUUGACAAUCUUGACAAGUGGCAACCGUCCCCUCCAAUAGGGGGCCGCCACUUGUCGAGUUUGUCAAACAUUUUGUACAAUAUUUUGUACAUAUAUCUUUAUCCAUAGAAUUAAUACCCAAUUGUCUCUUUUGAAUAUUCCACAAAUAUAUAUUUAUCGAAUUUAGAUUCUGGUUUAUCUCAUAUAAGCGUCACAUCCCUAAACUUUUAUGUGAGAUAGGUUGGGCAUUCUUUCUUCCCAUAACUCGUAUGGAGUUUUGUCAACUGAUUUAGAUGGGACGCGAUUUAGUGUGUAGUACAUAGUAGCAUUACAUAUCCCAAAAUGAUUUUGGGAGAUUAGUUUGUAUCAUCAUUUAUCGCAUUAGAUCUAACAAUAUACGAUUCCUUCUUUCAUACACGCUAUUUAUGUUACAGUGUAUGUGGCAAAGUCCACUCCAAGAGAAUCCCAUUCUCAUUUAGAUAAUUAGAAAUUCACCUUUACGAUAUUCUCUACCUCAAUUAUAUCUUAAUUUGAGAAAAUCUCUACCUAAAUGUUUCUCUACUUCUAAUUUGAAUUCUCUAAACUUUUCAAGAGCAUUUUAUUUGAAUUAUAUCAAGUAAAUAUAACCAUAUCUAGAAUGACCAUAAGUAAAUGUGAUGAAAUAAGAGAAAUUUCAUCCAGUGUUAAUUGAUAAAGGUCCACAUACAUCAGUAUGCAUUGUGCCAGAAAUUAUGUAGCUUUUUCUUAUUUUUCAUCAAAAGAAAAUUUGGUCAUCCUAUCCAACAAAAUGAUUCACAUUUGUGAAAUGAUUCAAAAUCAAUUGAUCACAAAAUUUUCAUCCCUAUGAAAUUUGGAAGUGCAUUUUUUUUUAAUUUAUGUGACCUAGUCUACAGUGCCAAUGACAUUUAUUAUUCAUGUUUAUACUUUUAUAACUUUUUAUUUUCUAUAGUCAUAUUGGAAAAACUGAGUAUCUAGAAUAUAAAUACUAUUUUGUAAUUUACUACAACCAUAAAAUAUCUUAUCAAGAUAAUAGGACCAACGAUUAUUCUUAACGUUAAUUGAAAAAUAUUUCAUGUCUAAACAUGAAAUUGAAAUAAUGUUUUUGGUAAUGGUGGGAACAAAAUAACAUUUCUCUAAUUCUAAUACCAAGCUUGAAGACAUCGACAAGAAGUAUGUUCCUACAUGUAAUGCAGCAACCUUUGCUCCACUUCCAAUGUAGGUUAAUUUCUCUAUUUUGCAGUGGUUUACUUCUUUUUUGUUUCUGCAUAUUUAUAUAAAUAUGAGAUCCACAUUAGAUAUCUAAUACCGGAAAAGCUAAUGAGGUAGAUAUAUUAAUCUCAAUAACAAAGGUACCUAAAGUGGAAGUUUUGGAAGACCUUUUUCCUUUUUUUUAAGCUCAUGAGUUGAGCUUCGAAGUUCCUCUUUCAAUAACCUUUCAUUUCACAUGAUAGCAAGGAUGAUUAGAUUUGGUAUUGUCCUUCUUUUCAUUGUCUGCCUUCUUGUCUUCUUAGAUGCUUUCCCAAAGCAUCUUUUAAAUUUCUUCUUAGUUCCUUAUAAGAAAUCAAUAACCAAAACUUUUCAACUACUUGCCCUGAUAUUGGGCUCAACAGUCUUAAGUUUGUUUAGCAACUCAAAGAGAGUGCACUCGAACUUAAAAUCCACAAUAAACUAUGAAUAGAACAUUUGCAGAGAUUGUAAAACCAAAAUAAUACUUAGUUUAUGAUCCAUGACCAAUUGAAAUGAGUUCUCAAUAUACCCAAUCAUCUUCAGGACAUGAGUAAUGACUAAAGAAUCUUUUGCCAUUUUGAACUAACAUAGUUGUUUGAAAGUCAUAUAUCUUUCACAAGUGAUUAUUCAUCAUAAAUUCUAUGAGAUGAAAAUUUAUGCUAUUAGCAUCCAUUCCCUUAUGUUGUUUUUGUAACUUCAGGAGACAUAACUACUAGCAUCACACGUAUUGCUGUAUUAUUGUCAUCACUGUGUUUAUUUUAAGCAGUCACCUCAUUCACAAUUGAACCUUCUAUGGGUGUCUUUGAAAAUGGAUGCUCAAGGACUUAACCAAUUUUCUUAUGCCUAAAAACAAUUUUUUGAUUACGGUGUCAUUCGAAAAAAAUUGGCCCGAUCAAUUUAUUGGCAUCCACUAUGCAUCUCAAAUUCAUAUGAUUAUUCAUAAUUGAAGGCUAUAAAUGACAAAAAAAAAAAAGAAAAAAAGAAAAGCACAAUAUAUUGAAAGAUGCAUCUAUUAAUUUAACAUAGUAUUUUAUUAAAUUAAUUAUACUCUUACCGUGUCACUUAAAUUUAUAAAUAUCUUACAGAAAUUUAUGAAAUCCGUACUUUUCUUUAGUUGAGUUAGGCGAUAGGAUCAGGUGCUAAUGGCUUCAACUAAUGGAGACUAGAGGAUCUGCUGUGGCUGCUGAAGUUCAACUGAUGAAUCUGUUUGUUGUUGAUGAAGAUCUUGUGUGCUAUUUUUGUUGCUGCAGAGAUCCGUUGAAGCAAACAGAGGAACUCACAGUGAACAAUAGAGUCUAAGUAGUAAUUGACUAGGAAUUACUAUAUUAUAUUAAGGAACUGGAAUAGAAGUAUGUAUGUAUAAAACUAUUCUGUAAUCGAUAUUAAAGGAAAAUAGAAUUUGAUUGAAGGCAUUUAAGAGGCCCUGACUUUCCUCAAUCCCAUUUAUGGACAAUAAGUUUUAUCUUGGUCCAAACAUUAUUUAUAUAAGUCGAGUUCGUUUCGAAUUUCAUGCUUCAUGCCAUCUCUUUGAGUCAGAUUUUGACUUUGUUUUAAUCUAAUUAGUAGAUUCAUUAUCCUCGAUUAGUAAUCGUAAAUUUAUACCUUCUAGGAGGUCGAAUGAUCC
rnacentral:lncRNA from 1 species